rnacentral:rRNA from 1 species
UAGGGAAUCUUGGCAAUGGGGGGAACCCUGACCGAGCAACGCCGCGUGAGUGAAGAAGGUUUUCGGAUCGUAAAGCUCUGUUGUUAAGGAAGAACGAGUGUGAGAAUGGAAAGUUCAUACUGUGACGGUACUUAACCAGAAAGGGACGGCUAACUACGUGCCAGCAGCCGCGGUAAUACGUAGGUCCCGAGCGUUGUCCGGAUUUAUUGGGCGUAAAGCGAGCGCAGGCGGUUAGAUAAGUCUGAAGUUAAAGGCAGUGGCUCAACCAUUGUAGGCUUUGGAAACUGUUUAACUUGAGUGCAGAAGGGGAGAGUGGAAUUCCAUGUGUAGCGGUGAAAUGCGUAGAUAUAUGGAGGAACACCGGUGGCGAAAGCGGCUCUCUGGUCUGUAACUGACGCUGAGGCUCGAAAGCGUGGGGAGCGAACAGG